AGCAGCCGCGGUAAUUCCAGCUCCAAUAGCGUAUAUUAAAGUUGUUGCAGUUAAAAAGCUCGUAGUUGAAUUUCGGGACCAAUCUGCCGGUCGUGCCUCUGGUACGCACUGGUUUUAUUGGUUUCUCCCUUCUGACGAACCAUGAUGUCAUUAAUUUGGUGUCGUGGGGAAUCAGGACUGUUACUUUGAAAAAAUUAGAGUGUUUAAAGCAGGCUCACGCUUGAAUACAUUAGCAUGGAAUAAUGAAAUAGGACGUUUGACCAUAUUUUGUUGGUUUCUAGGAUCGACGUAAUGAUUAAUAGGGACAGUUGGGGGCAUUAGUAUUCAAUUGUCAGAGGUGAAAUUCUUGGAUUUAUUGAAGACUAACUACUGCGAAAGCAUUUGCCAGGAGUUUUCAUUAAUCAAGAACGAAAGUUAGGGGAUCGAAGACGAUCAGAUACCGGUCGUAGUCUUAACCAUAAACUAUGCCG
rnacentral:rRNA from 1 species